UUGCUGGGGGAUUAGUGGCGAACGGGUGAGUAACACGUGAGUAACCUGCCCUUGACUCUGGGAUAAGCCUGGGAAACUGGGUCUAAUACCGGAUAUGACCAUCUGACGCAUGUCAUGGUGGUGGAAAGCUUUUGUGGUUUUGGAUGGACUCGCGGCCUAUCAGCUUGUUGGUGGGGUAAUGGCCUACCAAGGCGACGACGGGUAGCCGGCCUGAGAGGGUGACCGGCCACACUGGGACUGAGACACGGCCCAGACUCCUACGGGAGGCAGCAGUGGGGAAUAUUGCACAAUGGGCGGAAGCCUGAUGCAGCGACGCCGCGUGAGGGAUGACGGCCUUCGGGUUGUAAACCUCUUUCAGUAGGGAAGAAGCGAAAGUGACGGUACCUGCAGAAGAAGCGCCGGCUAACUACGUGCCAGCAGCCGCGGUAAUACGUAGGGCGCAAGCGUUAUCCGGAAUUAUUGGGCGUAAAGAGCUCGUAGGCGGUUUGUCGCGUCUGCUGUGAAAGACCGGGGCUCAACUCCGGUUCUGCAGUGGGUACGGGCAGACUAGAGUGCAGUAGGGGAGACUGGAAUUCCUGGUGUAGCGGUGAAAUGCGCAGAUAUCAGGAGGAACACCGAUGGCGAAGGCAGGUCUCUGGGCUGUAACUGACGCUGAGGAGCGAAAGCAUGGGGAGCGAACAGGAUUAGAUACCCUGGUAGUCCAUGCCGUAAACGUUGGGCACUAGGUGUGGGGGACAUUCCACGUUUUCCGCGCCGUAGCUAACGCAUUAAGUGCCCCGCCUGGGGAGUACGGCCGCAAGGCUAAAACUCAAAGGAAUUGACGGGGGCCCGCACAAGCGGCGGAGCAUGCGGAUUAAUUCGAUGCAACGCGAAGAACCUUACCAAGGCUUGACAUGAACCGGAAAGACCUGGAAACAGGUGCCCCGCUUGCGGUCGGUUUACAGGUGGUGCAUGGUUGUCGUCAGCUCGUGUCGUGAGAUGUUGGGUUAAGUCCCGCAACGAGCGCAACCCUCGUUCUAUGUUGCCAGCGCGUGAUGGCGGGGACUCAUAGGAGACUGCCGGGGUCAACUCGGAGGAAGGUGGGGACGACGUCAAAUCAUCAUGCCCCUUAUGUCUUGGGCUUCACGCAUGCUACAAUGGCCGGUACAAAGGGUUGCGAUACUGUGAGGUGGAGCUAAUCCCAAAAAGCCGGUCUCAGUUCGGAUUGGGGUCUGCAACUCGACCCCAUGAAGUCGGAGUCGCUAGUAAUCGCAGAUCAGCAACGCUGCGGUGAAUACGUUCCCGGGCCUUGUACACACCGCCCGUCAAGUCA
rnacentral:rRNA from 1 species